rnacentral:rRNA from 1 species
UACGGAGGAUGCGAGCGUUAUCCGGAUUUAUUGGGUUUAAAGGGUGCGCAGGCGGCACGGCAAGCCGGCGGUCAAAUCGGGGGGCUCAACCCCGCCCAGCCGUCGGAACUGCCGGGCUAGAGUGGGCGAGAAGUGCGCGGAAUGCGUGGUGUAGCGGUGAAAUGCAUAGAUAUCACGCAGAACUCCGAUUGCGAAGGCAGCGCACCGGCGCCCUACUGACGCUCAGGCACGAAAGCGUGGGUAUCGAACAGG